CAGGGUUUGAUCCUGGCUCAGGAUGAACGCUGGCGGCGUGCCUAAUACAUGCAAGUCGAGCGAACGGACGAGAAGCUUGCUUCUCUGAUGUUAGCGGCGGACGGGUGAGUAACACGUGGAUAACCUACCUAUAAGACUGGGAUAACUUCGGGAAACCGGAGCUAAUACCGGAUAAUAUUUUGAACCGCAUGGUUCAAAAGUGAAAGACGGUCUUGCUGUCACUUAUAGAUGGAUCCGCGCUGCAUUAGCUAGUUGGUAAGGUAACGGCUUACCAAGGCAACGAUGCAUAGCCGACCUGAGAGGGUGAUCGGCCACACUGGAACUGAGACACGGUCCAGACUCCUACGGGAGGCAGCAGUAGGGAAUCUUCCGCAAUGGGCGAAAGCCUGACGGAGCAACGCCGCGUGAGUGAUGAAGGUCUUCGGAUCGUAAAACUCUGUUAUUAGGGAAGAACAUAUGUGUAAGUAACUGUGCACAUCUUGACGGUACCUAAUCAGAAAGCCACGGCUAACUACGUGCCAGCAGCCGCGGUAAUACGUAGGUGGCAAGCGUUAUCCGGAAUUAUUGGGCGUAAAGCGCGCGUAGGCGGUUUUUUAAGUCUGAUGUGAAAGCCCACGGCUCAACCGUGGAGGGUCAUUGGAAACUGGAAAACUUGAGUGCAGAAGAGGAAAGUGGAAUUCCAUGUGUAGCGGUGAAAUGCGCAGAGAUAUGGAGGAACACCAGUGGCGAAGGCGACUUUCUGGUCUGUAACUGACGCUGAUGUGCGAAAGCGUGGGGAUCAAACAGGAUUAGAUACCCUGGUAGUCCACGCCGUAAACGAUGAGUGCUAAGUGUUAGGGGGUUUCCGCCCCUUAGUGCUGCAGCUAACGCAUUAAGCACUCCGCCUGGGGAGUACGACCGCAGGGUUG
rnacentral:rRNA from 1 species